rnacentral:rRNA from 1 species
GCUAUACAUGCAAGUCGUGCGAGAAAGGGCUUCGGCCCCAGUACAGCGGCGCACGGGUGAGUAACACGUAGGUCAUCUCCCCUCGAGUGGUGGAUAACCCUCCGAAAGGAGGGCUAAUACAGCAUGAGACCACGACCUUGUUGAGGUUGCGGUCAAAGCGGGCCACUGCAUGCAAGCUCGCGCUUGAGGAUGAGCCUGCGGCCCAUCAGCUAGUUGGUAGGGUAAUGGCCUACCAAGGCUAAGACGGGUAGCUGGUCUGAGAGGAUGAGCAGCCACACUGGAACUGAAACACGGUCCAGACUCCUACGGGAGGCGGCAGUAGGGAAUCUUGCGCAAUGGACGAAAGUCUGACGCAGCGACGCCGCGUGAGCGAUGAAGGCCUUCGGGUCGUAAAGCUCUGUGGGGAGAGACGAAUAAGGUUUGGCCAAUAUCCACGCCGAUGACGGUAUCUCCUUAGCAAGCACCGGCUAACUCUGUGCCAGCAGCCGCGGUAAGACAGAGGGUGCAAACGUUGUUCGGAAUUACUGGGCGUAAAGCGCGUGUAGGCGGCAGCGUGUGUCGGGCGUGAAAUCCCACGGCUCAACCGUGGAAGUGCACUCGAAACUGCGCAGCUAGAGUCCUGGAGAGGAAGGUGGAAUGCUUGGUGUAGAGGUGAAAUUCGUAGAUAUCAAGCGGAACACCGGUGGCGAAGGCGACCUUCUGGACAGUGACUGACGCUGAGACGCGAAAGCGUGGGGAGCAAACAGGAUU